rnacentral:lncRNA from 1 species
UUUUUCCGAGGUAGCUUAGAAGAUAUUUUUCUGGAUUGAUCAAAGGAGGAAAAGCAGAGGAAGGUUGCGUUGUGGAUCAUCAGGAAAGAUCACCUUAAGCUCGGUACGUUUUCGCCUCUUAAUGUCCUGCUCUAUUCUCUGGUACUCUAUGGAUAUUGUUUUUGCUGUUUGCUGUGGACAUAGAGGGCCACAUGUUUGCUUGGGUUAAACAUGGUUAUUUUGUAGGACGUACUCUGUUUUGGCCUUCCUUGAUAUCCUAGACUCUCCUCUAUAAAAUAAUGGUACUUUUUUUUUUUUGGGUUGUAUUGGAUGUUUGAUAAUGAUACUGUGGACUCCUAGUUUAUCCCACCAUCCAGCAGCCCGUCCAUCACUCAUGAAAGAAGAUUUUUGCUUAACAAUUCCUUGAGCCCCUGUUUUUGCCCUGUUUUUAGCUACUUCAUUCCUAUGCCCAUUUUCCAUCAACCUCCUCAUAUCCGUUUCCACACAUACCUAUCACUAUCUCUCUCUCUCUCUCUCUCUACACCAUGUUCUCCAUACCCAUAUUUCUAAGCUUUCUCAUUCCCACUAAGCACUUCUCUCACCACCUUUCUCUCUCUAAACCUUCACAUACCCAUCACCACAUACUCCUCAAGCAUUGUUUUCUCAAUGAUCUACACCACCCGCUCCAUAAAUCCCAUACCCAUUAACAUACCCACUAUCCAUGCAUAUACCCAUUUUCUUACCACUCAUCUCUUUAUCUACACCAUGUGCCUCCCAAGCCCAUCAUCCAUACUUCUUUUUUCAUCCCAUAUCCUUUCCCAUACAUAUCCUCAUUUAACUAUACCCCCCUAAACCCAUUCCUCUCUCUAAGCCUUCAUAUUUUUCUCACCACCUUUUCUCUCUCUACACCACAUGCUCUUCAUGCACACCCAUUCCUCACUCACCUACACUGCCCGUUCUACUUUCCAUACCCCCUCAUGCAUUCCCGUCGUUCAUAUAUCUGCUACACCCACUCCAUCCCGUUCUUGCAUGGCCAUGCAUAGCUACGUCAUACCCAUUUCACCACAAAACCCAUUUUCUUCCACCCAUGCAUGGCCACUUCAACCGUUGCAUUUAUUCCUCAUUACUACCCGUAGCUAUUCUCCACAUCCAUCCUCCAUGCCCUCAUGUUUAUCAUCACCCCCCCCCCCCCCCCAUGCAUAACCAUCUCCCAUUUACCCAUUUUCCCCAUCACCACCUAUCUCUCUCUACACCACAACCAUACCCAUAUCUUAUACCUCCAUGCAUACACCCACUCCACCAACCCGUAGCCUAAUCUUGCCUCAUGCAUGGCUGUCCAAAGCUCCUCCAAUUCACCCAUCCACGUGCAUGACUCAUGCUAACGGAUAUGGGCUUGAGAUGAAGCCCAAGUCCAAACUUGAUGAUGAAAAGCCUCAUGUGAUUAUGCUAGUGGAUAUGAGCUUGAGUUGGAGCCCAGUCCCGUAUAUGUUGAUGAAAGGCCUCUUUUUUAGUUCACCCAUCUUAAGUUGGCCCAUGCCCAUUUCAAGCCUAUACCCACUUCAAGUUAGCCCAUUUGUUUGGAGAUAUGGGCUUGAGUUGGAGCCCAAGCCCGUAUGUGUUGAUGAAAGGCCUCUUGUUUAGUUCACCCAUCUUAAGUUGGUCUGUGCCCAUUUCAAGCCUAUACCCACUUCAAGUUAGCCCAUUUGUUUGGAGAUAUGGGCUUGAGUUGAAGCCCAGGCCUGUAUGUGUUGAUGAAAGGCCUCUUGUUUAGUUCACCCAUCUUAAGUUGACCAUGCCCAUUUCAAGCCCAUACCCACUUCAAGUUAGCCCAUUUGUUUGUUUUCAAUUUACAUAAUUUACCUUUUUAAAAGCCCUAAUUUCUCAAUAAAUUUUCUAAAUUUAAAUUCCAAUAUCUGAAAUUUUAAUUUUCAUAUCAAUUUAUUUAAUCAUUAUCACUUUAUUCAUUUAUUUGUUUGUUUACUUUUAAAAUUCAAUCUUUAGAAAACUAUUCAAAGUUUCAAUUUCUAAAUUUAAAUUCCAAUUUCCGAAAUUUUAAUUUUCAUAUCAAUUUAUUUAAUCAUUAUCACUUUAUUCAUUUAUUUAUUUGUUUAUUCUUAAAAUUCAAUCUUUAAAAAAUCCUUCAAAAUUCCGAUUUCUAAAUUUUAAUUCCAAUUUUUGAAAUUUUAAUUUUCAUAUCAAUUUAUUUAAUCAUUAUCACUUUAAUCAUUUAUGUAUUGGUUUAAACUUAAAACUCCAAUCUUUAAAUAACUCUUCAAAAUUCCAAUUUCUAAAUUUUAAUUCCAAUUUCUGAAAUUUUAAUUAUCAUAUCCAUUUAUUUAAUCAUUAUCACUUUAUUCGUUUAUUUAUUUGUUUAAACUUAAAACUCCAAUCUUUAAAUAACUCUUCAAAAUUCCGAUUUCUAAAUUUAAAUUCCAACUUUUCGAAAUUUUAAUUUUCAUAGCAAUUUAUUUAAUCAUUAUCACUUUAUUCACUUAUUUAUUUGUUGAAAUUUAAAACUCCAAUCUUUAAAUAACUCUCCAGAGUUCCGAUUUCUAAAUUUAAUUCCAAUUUCUGAAAUUUUAAUUUUCGUAUCAAUUUAUUUAAUCAUUAUCACUUUAUUCAUUUAUUUAUUUGUUUAUUUUUAAAAUUCAAUCUUUAAAUAAUUCAUCAAAAUUCUGAUUUCCAAAUUAAAUUUCCAAAAUUCCUUUUUUUAUUUACUUAAUCAUCAUUAUUCUAUUUAUUUAUUUCAAAAAUUCCUUCUUCGAAUGAUUCCAAUUUUCUGACUCCUGAAUUUAAUUUUCAAUUUCAAAAAUUUCAAUAUUUACAUUUUUUUUUCCCAAAACCCCAAUUUCUGAACUUAAUUUCCGAAUUCCAAAAUUCUAAUUUCCUUCAAAUUUAACCCCCAAAAUUUUAAUCCUUAAAUUUAAUUUUCAAUACUCCAAUUUUCAAAUAAAUUUCAAAAAUCAAGUUUCCUCUCAAACCGUUUUAUUUCCAUUUUGGUUCUCAAACAAACCUUCUGUUCUUCUUGGUUUUACAUAAGCAUUAAUGUGAUUUUUACAAUUCCAAGAUAAUGGAAUUUGUGAGACUAAUUCGUGCAAGAUAAAUUAGGCUUUGGUGGGGGCCCGCAUUAUUAGAUGUUUCCUUUGGGAGUCCAUUUGAUUGUAUUGUGUUAUAUGAUGAUUUCGUACUCAAUUUAGUGGCACUUGAGCUAUGUUUUGUAUUCAUUAAUUAUGCACUAACCCCAUUGUUUGAUAGUGCAUUGUGGCUCGUUGCCCAGGUACGCAUCCACUCCUCUUCUUGUCAUUCUCUAUGCAUGUUCCGAUUCCCAUAUGUGUAUAAUCGAUUUGAGCAUCCAUUGAUUUUCUUAUUGAUUGUCACAUCAACUUCAUUUUAUUAGUAGAGAUCCGACUUUAAGGACUUAGAGGGGUGUUACGAUCCUUACCGUACCUUUCCAAUAAAUAACCUGACCUCUGAGCCCGAUCCAGUUUUUCAUAAAUCACCUUUUUUAAAAUAAGAAGUCAUACUUAGAAUUUUAUUUCUUAUUUUAUUUACCUUUUUAAAAAUAAAAUAAAAAUAAGUAGCUACUCCAAGUCAUUUUCUAAUAAAUAAAAUCAUUUUUUCAAAUAAAAAUCGAGUUCGCUAUCAAAUGGGAACGCAUGAACCGAAAUUGCGAGUUCCACACAUGGAUAUAUAUAUAUAUAUAUAUGACUUGAAAGGCCGUGUGCAAAUAAUGAAGAAAUACUGCAAAGAACAGAAUGACUCACAAUAAUUGUGGGUAUUACAAUGCAUACAACUAGCCAAACUCAUGUGGAUAUUAGGCCUCUAUGUAUGUAAUGAUGAUAAGUUUCGUCAUCACUUUUCAGAUUAUGGUUCAAAAAUCAUUUUGAGUAUCAAUAUUUUUCUUUUGUGGGAAACCCCAUUCAAACCAUCCCUUCACGUGUUGUUGCAACUUUUGAUUGAUCGACCCAUUCUACAAAAAGUGCUACCUUUCAAGUAUACUAGAAAGGAAUGUGAUUGUUGCUCAUUGCCUCAAAGACGCAUCAGGGACCUACCAAGGGAUUCUCAGAUUUUAGUCUUGCCUGGUAAUUUUGCCUUUUGUUUUUAAAGUUUGAUAUUGAAAAUUUUAAAACAAAGUGUUGGUUUCACUUCCCCUAUAGAAACUUUUAUAUAAAAUUAAGUAGAAUAUUUUAUAAAAAGGUGUAAAUUUAAAUAGAAUAUUUUAUAUAAAAAGUGUAAAUUUAUCUUAUAUCCUUAAAAAUUAUUUUUUAAAAAAUUUAAAAUUUGAGAUAAUGGAAACCUCUAAAAUUUUUUAUAUCUUAUAUAAAAUUACUAUUUUUUAUUUUUACUUUAAAAAUAAAAAUAGAAAAUGCAUUUAAACCAACACCAAAGUAUAAAACCUUUUUUUUUUUAUUCCAAAUAAUUUUCAAUCAAAUUUGAAACUGAUUACAUUCAUGCCUCAUUUUCAUUUGAUUGUCUUUUGUUGACCAAAUUUUCUCACAUAUGAAAGUUUUUAAAAAUCGAAACAUUAGCUUUUAGUAUUUUAUCUAAUCUAACAUUUAAAAAAAUGACCUUAAGAGACAUGGUUCAACUAUUCGGUUUUCCAAGCUCAUAUAUUUUUUCUUUUUUCUUUUUUCUUUUUUUUGGCUUUGCUUGUUAUAAUAAUUAAUGAGAAAAAAUAAAUGUUUUUUUAAAAUAUUUAGAAUGACGAUUUACGUUUUCAUAAUUUUAAAAAUAGUUAAAUUUUAUUAUUUUGAACUGAUUUAAUAAAAAUGUCAAUAAAUAUUUAUGUUAAUUAAUUGAAUUGUGACAAGUAGCCAGCCCAUAAAAGAACCAACUCAGCGGGCAGCAUCUACCUGGAAAUCAAAUAAUUUGAAUUUUUUUUUUUCUUCAAUAUGAAUAAGUUGCUCAUAGUCUUAGUCAAACUUAUACAAAAUUUAUAAAAAUACUAACAGUAGGCCCAGACUGCAUAUGCAGAAACUCUUUCAUCACAACAACAUAAAAUUACUUUACCUUUUUCCUUACAACCACCAAAUACUGGAAAUCUAGUCCAGCUAUUAUUCUACAUUUGCUUAUAUAAUUAUGACAUUUCCAAGCCAACAAAGAACAAAAGCACCCAUUGUUAAUUGCUAGGAAAUUACGAGACUUGUGGAAGCUGUGGAUCUGCUUGUAUCUAUACGGACUCUGUGACGUGUAUCCAUGUUAGUUAGGGGUAAAAUUGCAGGGCUUCUUCUCACGGGCCUUUGUUGCAUCCUUGCGAAUAGAGUCUGAAGCUUCUCCAUGAUCCUUUGAACCCACUCACACCCCUUUCGGACGAGCCUAUACAAGUAGUUGCCAAGUGAAAGAAAGACGUAGAUGACAUAUAUUACAGGUCGCCAUUCAUCUGAGGACAAGAUUGAUACCAAUGAAGCCACUAAGAGGGAAGCAGAAAACACCAUGCUAGUACGGAGGAGAGCAGCUGGAGUGGGGGAGAGAUGAGCAAAAUAUUCUUCCAAGGUAAAUGACAAGCCAAAUAGUUGUAAAGCAGCAAUAGCCACCUUGGUGGUGAUGGGGUGGGCUUCAAAUGCGGAGAUGGACUCAUUCUGGAACUUCAACUCAAUGAGUUCAAGAAGCAGUGGAACAACAAGGGUAAGCAUGGCGAGAAUGGCAGAACGGGUAGUGGCCAUGCGAUUUGUUUGUUGUGGGAGGUUGAUUCCUAGAAAGGUAAAUAUAGUGGCAAUAUGAAUAGGCAUGGUUGUGCUGUGGAUAAAUAAUUUAGACCUGUAGAGCAAUAAACAAUGAGGACACAGAUGAGAUGGAGAUAUGGAGAGGUGAAGCAACCGAAACCAAUACAAGAAAUAACAAGAGUUUGAGAGUAACUAACCUCUGAUCUCCCUCAACUUCUCUACGGAUGAGCACAGAUGAGCUUGAGUGAGAGCUAGGGAAUGGGAGUGAGCCUUGUCUUUCCACCCUCUAUAUAAUCGGUAACACCUCGUCAUUUUUUACUUGUCUUUCCUUGUCAUUUUCAGGGUACCUCGUCUAUCCACUUGACCCUCCAUCUUGUAACACCUUGUCAUUUUCAGGGUACCUUGUCUUUCCACUUUUUCCACUUUUUCCACUAUAACACCUUGUCAUUUUCAGGGUACCUCGUCUUUCCACUUUUUCCACCCUCCAUCUUGUAACACCUUGUCAUUUUCAGCACCCUCAAUCUAUGACACCUUGUCAUUUUCAGGGUACCUCGUCUUUCCACUUUUUCCACCCUCCAUCUUGUAACACCUUGUCAUUUUCAGCACCCUCAAUCUAUGAUGAUAUGAGGACCUUGUCUUUCCACCUUUUCCACCCUCCAUCUAUGGGUAACACCCUGUCAUUUUCAGCUCUAUGGUAAUUCGGGUGUCGGGUGGGAGGGCUGGAGUCGCCUGGCCCUACGAGGUAUGGUAUUGUAUCAUUCUUUCGUUCCAGGCUUUGUGUAUUAGAGGGGCGAUUAAAAUAAUAAAAGCCACUUAUGUUGGUACCUCGCGUCUUUGAUGAUCCACGUAGUUGCCAGAUGGAUGGACGCGUGAUUCCAACUCAUAAAGGUUCUUGAUCCAGUCGAUAUACCUGCAAGAAGGCAUCCGGACAGGGUGUCCGGACUCACCCUCCGAUGGUUUUGUCAGUCAUGGUCAGAGAGAGAGAUAUAAAUCAGUUGGCAUUUUUCUAGGUAUCAGGAGGUUACCAGAGGAUCCCCUUCUUCUUCAUGCGAAGGCAUAUAUAUCCAGCUUCAGGGGUACUGUUCCUCUCAUUAAUGGCGAGGAGAUAUUUUAUGUUUGUCAUGAUGACAUUCGGAGGCAGCAUGGUCAUCGCCACCCUACUGGCGGCUGUUAGAAACCGUGGUAGGUGAUGCUGCUGUCUAGAUAUCGUGGGAAGUGAUCAUGUAGAAUGAUCGUGGGAAGUGACUAGUUGUCACCUCGACCCGUCCUUUCACUCUGCAGAUGAUGGGACGUGGGCCAUGGCUGGUUGUCGUGAUAGCGUGUAAGACUCGCUUUAUUUUAAUUGAUGAUCUGGACGAUUAUGUCCGGGUGGCACAUGCUAAUUGCCCGGAUGUAUUGUGGAGCGGAUGCAUUAUGAAGGUUGUCCGGAUGUCUGUGUUUUGCCAGCGACGUUUGCUCUUCCUUGGAUAGGAGAAGUUGAAACGUCAUUUGCCUUUCCUUGAGGCGGUCCGGAUAGGAGAACUGCAUCAUGUGUAUCCUUAGGGGAAUCCGGAUGAUGAUGGUCCGGCUGAUAAUAUGUGCCACGUGUCAUUGUGAGGUGCGUGCCACGUGUUUCCCAGAGGGAGGGGUCCCUACAACUUACAAUUUCAACUUUGUCCCGAUGUGGGACAAAAUGUGAACCUGUGCCACAAAUUAAAACUACAAUUUUGUUUUAGUAAAGGAAAAAGAAAAAAAAGAGAAAAAUUGUGUCUGAUAACACUCACUACUACUGAUAUUGACUUUAAAUUACAUUAUGUAUUUAAAAUUUAUUAUUUAUUUUUUACUUUAAAUAUUAAAAUUAUAUUUUAAAUCAUCAAAUUGAUAUAUUUAUUCUCAUUAAUUUUAACUAAUAUUUAUAUUUUCAUUAAUUUAAAAAAAUAAAUUUAUUUAUUAAACAAUUAUAUUUGAAAUAUUAUAGAUAGAUAAUAUAGCUAAAAAAAUUAUUUACUAUAAAAUAUGAGUUGUAAAUAUAGAAUCAUAGUUGUAAAAUAUACCUUUAAUAGUUAUAGAUAGAUAAAGCAAAAGAUAUUUGAAAUUAAGAAUAAAUUAGCUAUUUUGACUUAAUAAUUAAAGAUAUUUUUUAUUUUAAGUUAUGAUAUUAAAUUAUUUUAUCAAUUUCAUCUACUUAAUAACUUAAAUUAAGUGGAUAAGUCAUAUUAUAUUACUAAGUUGAUUUAUCAAACACUCUCUAAAUUAUGUCAUUAUUUGAAUUAAAUAAAGUAUAUUAAUGUGUUAAGAUGCAUAAUUUUAAGAUGCAUAAUUUUGAGAUAGGAUUAAUGGUUAUGAACAAGUCAAAAUAGAUUCAAGUAAUUAAAACCUUACAUUCAAAGAAAACAUAUUAAAUAUUAUAUUUGUACCAUUUUCAAAUGAUUUUAUAAGUCAUAUUAUAAAUUGUGAUAGAGAAAUUUUGUAAGAUAAAUUACUUUCAAAUUUUAAAGUUAUUUUUUUAAAACCAGGUAUUCCUAUCUAUUUUCUCGGCCAGCCAAAAUAAAACAGUUACAUUAUAGUAAUGUUUUGUUGUAUUUUUAUUUUUUAACAUAUGUUUUAAUUAAAUAAUUAAAGUAAAAUUUUGAAAACAAUUUUUAAAAUCAUGUUUGGAAACAUAUUUUUGCAUUUUGAUUUAAAAUUUGAUGAAAAUUUUAGAAUUUUUUAAAGAAAAAAUUGUAAAAAAAUAAAAAUAAAUUGAUUUCAAAUUAUUUUAAUUUUAAAAUGAGAUAUUAUACUCAUGGUUGACCCUGUCUUAUUGCAAAACUAAUAACAUUGAUAUUUAAUGUGUGAAAAUUUUGAAAAAUUAUUUUACUUUGUAUGUCUAAAAAAAAAAUUAAAUUAUUGAACAUGUUUAAUAACAUUUAAAUUAAAAGCAUAAUAAAAGAAUCAUUUAUGUUUUCUAUUUAAAGAUAUUAAAUAUCUUUUCAUCACUUAAAUUUCACUUGAUUGGUUCAUUUGGUUCAUUACUUAUAACCUUUUAACACUUAGUUUUUGCCUCUUCUAACUUAUAAUCUACCCUAUUUAUUUGUAUGUAAUGUGAAACCAAAAAACAUGAUACAUAGGUGAAAGAACAAGUGAAACUAUUUGUUUCGGACUGUUUUCAAAAGUAAUUAUUAAAAGAUAUAUUUUGAAAGUAAUUUUUAAAAAAAAAAAUUAUGUUUGAAAACUUUAAUUUGAUUUGUUUUUUAGCUAAUCAAAUUGUGCAUUCCAAUUCGCAUAUUUAGAUUUUUUUUUUUAUGAGUUAUUUAGGAUUUUCAUUUUUAUUUUGUGUUUUUUUUUAAAAAAAACCAACAAAAUAAUCAAAAAAACAAAUUUUCAUUUUUUAUCUUAAAUUUUGAAAUGUGAGCUAUAACUGAUAUUAAAUGUCAAACCGGUGCUCAGAAAUCAACCAUUUUGAUUUUGGAAGCUUCCGUGUAAUUUCACUAAUCAGAAAAACCUCUCAUAUGAAAAUAUUAUUAAAAUCAUAACCUAACUUUCCCAUUUCUCAAUUCUCAAGUUCAUUAAAAGAAUGUCCAAGUUGGAUGUGUUGAGUGGUGUCCCUUGCAUGUGGACGUGGGUCCACUUCAAUAAAAGAAAUAUAAAGAUUUUUUUUUAAGAAAAUGUUGGAUUUUUGUUUUAAUUUCCAAAAAUAGUUUUCUAUUUUUAAAAAGAAAAAUAUUUUUAAAAUGCAUUUAUUUGUUUUGUGCUUGCAAAAAACUAAAGUAGACUCUUUUAUAUAUGAUAAAAAGUUAAUUAUUUUAUUAUUUUUAAAAAUUAUUGUACAAAUAACCUAAAAUUACAUAAAUAAACCACUUUUUAACUACAACUUUCAAUAUUCAUUUUCUGACCUUAUCUUUUAUUUGUACUUUUUUUCUUUCUCUUUUUGAAGGUUUUUAAGAUGGUUCAAUAAGAAAAAAAAUCUAAAAUAUUGGUCAUUGUAAUUAUUCUCCUUUUCUAAAAGUGAACAAAAAAUAUUUGUCUUAAUAUGGUGGUGUUUUAUAUGCCCACGGCAUAACAAAUAAUAAUGUGUGUUUUAUUUAUUAGGUAAUUAAAAAAAUUAACCAUGUAUAAAUUAUAUUAGUUAAGAUUAAUUAAUUUAACAAAAAUAAAUAAAUAUUUUUUAUUUGAUAUCAAUAUUUUUUAUUACACUAUUUUUAAAAAAAUGCUUCUAACCUAAAAAAUAUUUUUAAAGAAAAAUAAAAUAUGGUAAAAUUUUAUAAACAUUUUAAAAAAGUUGAAAUAUUUACUAUCAAUUUGAUAGUGAUUGUAAAAAGUCUUUUUAAUAUUUUUAAUACUUGAAAUUUUUCAUAAUUCAAGUGAUUCUAAAUAUUUCAACUUUUUAAAAGUGUUUAUAAAAUUUAGAGUCCAUUUGAUAAUGAUUAUAGAAAGUAUUUUUAAUAUUUUUAAUACUUGAAAAUUUUUAUAAUUCAAGUGUUAAAAAUAUUAUAAACGUUUUCUAAAAUUACUUCCAAACGCACUUUUCGUUAUUGUUGAAAAAAUACUUUUUAAAAGCAUUUAUAAAGAAAUACUUCUACUAAAAGUAUUUUAAAGGGAAACACUAUUAAAGGUGUGUUUCAUAGUAUUUCUAAUCAAAAUAUUUUUAGUUAAAUUGUUUUUUUUUUAAAGUGUUUUAGAAAAAUUACAAUGACUCACAUUUUUAAUAAUACUGUGGAUCCCGCAUUUCGGCUCAUGCGCUACCAUUCGGUGGCGAUCUUGAUUUUUAUUUGAAAAAUAAUUUUAUUUAUUAGGAAAAAAAAUGGCUUGGAGUCGUCAUUUAUUUUUGUUUUAUUUUUAAAAUAAUAAAUAAAAUAAAAAAGAAAACUUUAAGUGUGAUUUCUUGUUUUGAAAAUUAUGGACCGUACAAAAGGUGGUUUGUAAAAAUUCCUAUAUUUGAAAAGUUAUUUACAAAUAUAGGAUUUGGAAAAAAAACAUUUUCAAAAAUCUAAAGAGAGGGACAGGAAGUGGCACGUGGCCCAAAAGUGGUCAGGCAUACGGUACACUAUGUAGUGAGUGCUGUCUCAUGUAGUUUCUCUUUUCCUCAUCAACCUUUGAAGGUAGGUGAACUUGGUUGUACCGCUAGCAAAACCUUUGCAUCUGCUUUCCCCACUAAAGCUGGAGUGGGAUUGCUAUGCAUCCCGCACACCUUAUACUGCUGGUGAUGAUAUUUUGUUUUGGAAGGACCUUCUCUACAGUCAUCAACCUGGGACAUCAAAUAGCUGCUGCUGCCAGGAGAUCCAUAGCAGACCACUUUUCUGAUUUGAGAGAUUUAAAGAGAUAGUUUUCUUUCCAGUAGAUUUUUGACUGGUCUUGGAGCCAUUUUUCUCUCAGCCAAUCCAUUCUCAUGAAUCAUCAUCUCAUCUCUCAAAUUUACAUCAAGGAAACAAUUCUCUCAUGGACGGACAACCAUGCAUCUUUUCAGCCAACUCCAACUUCUGUCGCUUUUAUCUGGUUCAAACGUAAAGGGGGCAGCUUCAAAACCAGCAUCAAAUGGAAGGCGCGGGUCAAGGUCUUUUUCAUUUCCACUAAAAUAACAGCCUGAGCUAAAGUCCACAUCGCUAGCAUUAACACCGGCAUAAAUUAUUUUCCCAAGGACAUGACGUGGUUUGAUUGGCAAUCUCAAUGGCACGCACACUAUGCUGGUUGCACUUCGGAAAUUAUGACUCAAGGUGUAGACAACUACUUCCUCAAAACUCUUAGGAAUUUGGAGAUUCAAUGAAGCUUUGAAUGGGACUUUUCUCCUUCAUUUUGAAAUAGGCAACCUGCAUUUUGCUUCUUUAAUGGGAGCUGGCCAAUACUCCAUUCCUCUCCUGUUUGUGAUCCAUAAACAUGAUCCAACUUUCCUCUCAUCGCUUGUAAGCUCCAAAAGCACCUCUCACCGCCAUUUCCAUUGACAUAUAACCACCCAUUAAACCAAUAAAUUUAGAAUCCACGCUUGAGCCUAUCUCAGUUUGAACAAACUCAAGGCAAAGCACAUUAACACGAUUUAUGUGGCGUUUAUAACGUGCAAGUGAUCUGAUAACGUGAACCACACCACCUUUGGAGGCAAAGUAGAUUGGGCGAACCAGAUAAAACCCACGUUUUCUCUUGACUUUCAGAAGAGAAGGAAGGAGCCAACUUCUGAGUAUCCGGAAGAGUGGAGUGGGUCAACUAGCGCUUCAGCUGAGUCCAGAGAUCCUCAUCACUCUCAGUCUCGGUGGAACUCAUCCCAGACUCAACAGGUGAGUUGAGAGCAGAAGUAAACCCAAAGGAGUCAAACUCGUAAGGAAACUCACUAGGGAAACCAUGGAUCCAUGCACCAACAGGAUUGGCGCUGUUGUCGUUGAAGUUCUCCUUGUCCAUGAGAGUAUCUUCGUUAGUGAGAAAGUGAGAAGGUAGCCAAAAGCGAGGGCCAAUGAGAGAGAGAGCCAUGUGGAGCAGGCCCAGAAAUGAAAAAGACUGCAGUGAGGGAUGCAAUAACCCCUGAUGGGAUGGGCUGAAAGAUGGUGAGUGAGGAAUUAUGGGUAUGGGGACGGAAUGGGCAUUUGGCGGUGGGUAUAGGGAACAUGAAGGGUGGUAAGAUUGAUGGGUUUAGUAAGUUUGGAAGGAAUGAGAAGAAUAAAUGUGCUGGUGAAGUGAGCUACUGGCAGUGAGUAUGAAGAGAAGGGAAUAGGUUUGAUAGUGGGAUUAGAAAAUAGGUAUGAAAGAUGUAUGAGGAUAUUGACAUGCAAUUGAUGGACUGGGUGGUGGGGUUAUUGAGGAAUGGGUAUAGGAAUGAUGGCCCGGUUUGCAUGGUUUCCAUGCACGUGGAUAGGUGAAUUGGGAGCCUUAAUGAAGGCUAUGGUUGAAUUUCUUAGGCCAUACAUGGUGCAAGGAGACGGGUUGUGGGUUGACGGAAGGAGAGGUGAAGGUUAACUUGGCCAUAUGUGGCCAUGCCAAAAGUGAGGGGAUGGAUAGAAGGGCAUUUAGAAAAUGAGCACAUGUGGUGGUGUAGGGACAAGAAUGACAGAGUAUGACAGCUAGAAGGAUAGACAUAGUGAUGAAACGAGCUCCUGGCAAUGAACAUGAUAGAUGGUGGAGAUGGCAAUCUGAAAAGGGAACUAAUAAUGGUGCAUAUACGGGAGAUGGUGGAAGGAACAAGCGGCGUCGCUGUGGAGCGGAUUCAGUGCAACUCAUUUUCAUCUCGAAUGUAUAUUCUGUAUGAUCCUCAUGAAGGAAUGGUUAGAUGAUAAAACGGCCUUCGCACUUGAUUCCCAGCUUACCAAGAAUUAUCAUUCUAACCGUGAGGACCCAUUCAUUCAAAUGGUCAAGCCUUCCACUCAGUCCACAUUAGCACACUGAACUUUUAGACACUUCUGAGAUGCUUUGGAUCUCAACUUUUCUGCCUAAUCAUUCGAGUUGUAGCAGGGAUAUUUUCAUGAUGGGAGAUGGCUGUGCUUCUCAAUAACUAUUGGCAUUUUCAUUUCUCAUAGACUGGAUUAAUGCAACCUGUUCAGAAAGCCAUGUGUCCAGCGUGAUAGACCUCUCCUUUGUCGUUUCUGAAAUGGUAAGCACCUCCAAGGCCACCAUGGACAGGAAUGGGAUCAACACCGUGUUUAAUUGCGGUCACGAUACCUUCAAUCAGCUCACUUAUUUUGACCAAGCGACCAAAGCGUCCUAAUAUCUCGAUAGGACCACUUUGGUCACUUUGUUGGAGACUCUUUCCAGUAGAUGAGAAACACGGAGUUGAAGAGCUUUUGUGAAGGCAGUUCCUUAUGAGUAGAAACAAGGAAUCACUUCGAACUCAUCGUUCCACCAUCUACAAGGAAUUGAUCACCAACUUUCACAUCCUCAGCGAAACCAUCAUAGUUGAUGUUGACAAUGCGUUCUGGGUGAGGUGAACCAAAUGCUUGAACAUUAAAAAAAAACCAUAUCUCUUCAUGCUCUGCUUUGUCCGACAGGGAGGAGGAAAUAGCCAUUUCUCAUAGAAAGGCCAUACUUCUAGGAUGAACCAGUGCGAGAGCUUAAACCUACCAACCACAAUACCAUAGACUGCCAGGUUCAAUUUUAGCCCAAUUUUUCCCAAUCUUAAAGCCUUGAGUAUGCGUCUAGGGGAAAACAGAGCAACCAGAGAACAGCAACAGGAAGAGGACAUGAAGCUUUUUAACCAUUAUGUUGAACCCAUUUCAUCAUUUAUCCAUGGGUCCAACAAUCGGUGGGUUGAAUUGAAAGUCUUUAUUGGAAUGGAGCGUGAAAUUUAACAAGCUUUUCAAAUAUUAAACCAAAAAAAAUGCCAAACUAGAAACAACCCAACAAACAUCAGUGAAAGUCAUAGAGAAUGAUAUAUGAAGAAUAGGAACAUACAUGAAAACUAUAGUAACCAAACUUGAAAAUCUUUUCCUCUUGCUCUAGCUUCAUCCCCAAGCAAAACAACCUCUCCCUCUGUAAAAUCACCACGCUCCACAAAAAUGGCAACAAAUGUACCGCCUCCAAAAUGUCUCUGCGAGUCCCAAAAAUACCUUCCCAAAAACCGCCACCAAAAAAAAAACGACCUAGCAAAAACUUGUCCCUCAAGAAAACCCUUCUCUAAAAUAUCUCACCAGGCUGCAGCGAAAGCACCUCCCUCUCUGCUCCCAAAAUAUCUCACCA